rnacentral:rRNA from 1 species
UGGGGAAUAUUGGACAAUGGGGGCAACCCUGAUCCAGCAAUACCGCGUGUGUGAAGAAGGCCUUCGGGUUGUAAAGCACUUUAGGCGGGGAAGAAGGUAAGUAGUUUAAGAGAUGACUUAUUUGACGGUACCCGCAGAAUAAGCACCGGCUAACUCUGUGCCAGCAGCCGCGGUAAUACAGAGGGUGCAAGCGUUAAUCGGAUUUACUGGGCGUAAAGGGCGCGUAGGUGGUUAUGUAAGUGAGAUGUGAAAGCCCCGGGCUCAACCUGGGAACUGCAUCUUAUACUGCAUAGCUGGAGUACAAUAGAGGGUAGUGGAAUUUCCGGUGUAGCGGUGAAAUGCGUAGAUAUCGGAAGGAACACCAGUGGCGAAGGCGGCUACCUGGAUUGAUACUGACACU